CUACGGGAGGCAGCAGUCGAGAAUUUUUCACAAUGGGCGCAAGCCUGAUGGAGCGACGCCGCGUGGGGGAUGAAUGGCUUCGGCCCGUAAACCCCUGUCAUUCGCGAUCAAACCUUGGUAUUUAAAAGAUGCCGAGCUGAUAGUAGCGGAAGAGGAAGGGACGGCUAACUCUGUGCCAGCAGCCGCGGUAAUACAGAGGUCCCAAGCGUUGUUCGGAUUCACUGGGCGUAAAGGGUGCGUAGGUGGCGAGGUAAGUCGGAUGUGAAAGCUCGGAGCUCAACUCCGAAAUGGCAUUGGAAACUACCUUGCUCGAGGGUUGGAAGGGGGACUGGAAUUCUCGGUGUAGCAGUGAAAUGCGUAGAUAUCGAGAGGAACACCAGUGGCGAAGGCGAGUCCCUGGACAAUACCUGACACUGAGGCACGAAAGCUAGGGGAGCAAACAGGAUUAGAUACCCUGGU
rnacentral:rRNA from 1 species